UGGGGCGUGGCCAAGUGGUAAGGCGUCGGUUUUUGGUCCCGUGUACCGUAGGUUCGAAUCCUACCGCCCCAGCCA
rnacentral:tRNA from 1 species